rnacentral:sRNA from 1 species
AAAAAUUAAGAAAAAUUGAUGUAGCACUGCUAGGGGUGUCAAAAUGGGUCAAAAUUCAUGGGUCAACUCAACUCAACUCAACCCAUGAACUCUAAUGAGUUAUUUUUUUUUGACUCAAAUGAGUUGAUGGGUCAAAUGAGUUAUUGGGUCAAUUGGUUUGAUGAGUCAAAUGAGUUGGGUUGUAAUGGUUAAUGGUUUCAAUGGUUUACCCAAUUAACCUAUCAAGUUUUGUAAAAUUGAAUUAAACCAACUAAAAUCUCUAAACCAAUGUCAAUUUAAGCUUAACCAACACAUCUAAACCAAUUUAAUAAAAUCAAUAUUUUUCCAA